GAUGUAGCUUAAUGGUAGAGCAGCUACCUUUCGUGGGAGUGGUCCUGGGUUCGACUCCCAGCAUC
rnacentral:tRNA from 1 species